rnacentral:rRNA from 1 species
UGGGGAAUUUUGGACAAUGGGCGCAAGCCUGAUCCAGCCAUGCCGCGUGCAGGAUGAAGGCCUUCGGGUUGUAAACUGCUUUUGUACGGAACGAAAAGGUUUGGCCUAAUAAGCUGAGCUCAUGACGGUACCGUAAGAAUAAGCACCGGCUAACUACGUGCCAGCAGCCGCGGUAAUACGUAGGGUGCGAGCGUUAAUCGGAAUUACUGGGCGUAAAGCGUGCGCAGGCGGUUAUGUAAGACAGAUGUGAAAUCCCCGGGCUCAACCUGGGAACUGCAUUAGUGACUGCAUAGCUGGAGUACGGCAGAGGGGGAUGGAAUUCCGCGUGUAGCAGUGAAAUGCGUAGAUAUGCGGAGGAACACCGAUGGCGAAGGCAAUCCCCUGGGCCUGUACUGACGCUCAUGCACGAAAGCGUGGGGAGCAAACA